rnacentral:rRNA from 1 species
CCUACGGGAGGCAGCAGUGAGGACUAUUGGUCAAUGGACGAGAGUCUGAACCAGCCAAGUAGCGUGAAGGAUGACUGCCCUAUGGGUUGUAAACUUCUUUUAUAUGGGAAUAAAAUGUUCCACGUGUGGGAUUUUGUAUGUACCAUAUGAAUAAGGAUCGGCUAACUCCGUGCCAGCAGCCGCUGUAAUACGGAGGAUCCGAGCAUUAUCCGGAUUUAUUGGGUUUAAAGGGAGCGUAGGUGGAUUGUUAAGUCAGUUGUGAAAGUUUGCGGCUCAACCGUAAAAUUGCAGUUGAAACUGGCAGUCUUGAGUACAGUAGAGGUGGGCGGAAUUCGUGGUGUAGCGGUGAAAUGCUUAGAUAUCACGAAGAACUCCGAUUGCGAAGGCAGUUCACUGGACUGCAACUGACACUGAGGCUCGAAAGUGUGGGUAUCAAACAGGAUUAGAUACCCGAGUAGUC